ACCUGGGAUAGCUCAGUUGGUAGAGAAUGAGACUCUUAACCUCAGGGUCAUGGGGCUGAGUCCCACAUUGGGCA